rnacentral:rRNA from 1 species
CUACGGGAUGCAGCAGUGGGGAAUUUUGGACAAUGGGGGCAACCCUGAUCCAGCCAUGCCGCGUGAGUGAAGAAGGCCUUCGGGUUGUAAAGCUCUUUCGGCCGGGAAGAAAUCGUAUGGGUUAAUACCCUGUGCGGAUGACGGUACCGGCAUAAGAAGCACCGGCUAACUACGUGCCAGCAGCCGCGGUAAUACGUAGGGUGCGAGCGUUAAUCGGAAUUACUGGGCGUAAAGCGUGCGCAGGCGGUUUUGUAAGACAGGCGUGAAAUCCCCGGGCUCAACCUGGGAACUGCGCUUGUGACUGCAAGGCUUGAGUACGGCAGAGGGGGGUGGAAUUCCACGUGUAGCAGUGAAAUGCGUAGAGAUGUGGAGGAACACCAAUGGCGAAGGCAGCCCCCUGGGUCGAUACUGACGCUCAUGCACGAAAGCGUGGGUAGCAAACAGGAUUAGAUACCCCAGUAGUC